UUCUAAUGCUUGUGCCCGAGGCAGGUAGGUAUAAUGUUUCCUCAACACCAUCUUAUAACACAACGCAGGGGAAACGAAACCUCAGAAUAAAUGGAACAAGUACCCAGAAUAGGUGCAGUAACUACCAUGUAUGACAAGAAAAAUGGAGCUUCGUGUGUAGAAGCCCAGCGAUUUAAUACUGGAAAACAGAUGGAUUGCUUUCCCAAUUCUUCGUUUCAUAUGAUCAUGGUCUACCUGGAAAGCUCAUAGAAUCACAAUCUGAUAUGUGAUUUGGUGGUUGAAAAAGUUAUUUUAUAUGAUAUGAACCCAAGCAACUGAACUUUACAUAAAACUGCAGCAAUUGAUUAAUCAAGGUAAUACAAUGGGGAAAAACAAGUACUUCACAACUUAAAAUAAAACCACAAUUUCGUUUUCUAAGUUACUAAACUUUUGGCAUACAGAUCCUUUUUGGCUUUUAGAACACAAGGUUCAGAGAGUUAACAAGUUGAGAUGGCAUUUGUCAUUUUGUCAGACAAAUCUCUAUGAUAUGAACAGGGCGAAGAAUCAGAGUUUGAUAACCUUUAGACCUUAUCUAAGCUCCCCAAAAUCCUCGAAGAUGAGAUUUUUCUGAGGCAAAUUUUCCAAGCUUAAGAUGAGCAACAUCCAGCCUUUUUAACAGCUGAGACAUCAUCUUUGGAUCCAACAUUGAUCGUCUGUCCUCUGGGCAAAGCUGCUGGGUCAUCUCCGAUGUCAAGAGCCUUCCUGCUAACGACUCGGUAGAUCUGGGUCAGUACCUCCGUGAAUGCAUUCUCCACGUUCAAAGAUUCCAGAGCAGAUGUCUCCAUGAAAAAGGUAUUCUCUCGUUCAGCGAAUCCCUUGGCAUCAUCAGCGGCAACAGCUCGCAGGUGACGCAGGUCUGCCUUAUUUCCUACCAGCAUGAUCACAAUGUUGGCAUCAGUGUGAUCCCUGAGCUCCUUUAGCCAUCUCUGCACAUUUUCAAAUGUGACAUGGCGAGUGACAUCGUAUACUAGUAAAGCUCCAACGGCACCUCUGUAGUAUGCACUUGUGAUGGCUCGAUAUCUUUCUUGGCCGGCGGUAUCCCAAAUCUGAGCCUUGACGACCUUAUCAUCGACGUGAAUGCUGCGGGUGGCGAACUCGACGCCGAUGGUGGAUUUGGAUUCAAGGCUGAAUUCAUUUCUGGUAAAACGAGACAAUAGAUUGGAUUUGCCAACGCCAGAAUCUCCAAUCAAGACGACCUUGAACAAGUAAUCGUAAUCAUCGUCUGCUCUAUAUGCUCCCAUUUGAUACGGCUCUCUCUUAUCCGGGUUUUCUUCUUUCGCUGCUUCUAAUAAUAAUAAUAAUAAU
rnacentral:misc_RNA from 1 species